rnacentral:lncRNA from 1 species
UAGGUCGGGGAGAAAGCUGUUUCGAUGAUGAACCCUCCGCCGUGGAAGUAAACGAGGAGAGGGAGUUUCUCACCGUUCUCGGCGGCUUUCUCCGGGAGGUAAAUGCGGACGGAGAGGUUGUUGUCGGGAGAAUAAAGGACGUCUUUGGAAACGACACCGUUUUGUGGCUCGGAAGAAGGUGGGACGGUGGUUUCGCCCAUGAGUCGCUCGAUGCGGCCACUCUUGUAGAUUUUGAGCACCGGAGAGAAGUCGAGGGCGAUCUCGGAAUCCAUGAUUGGUUUGGUCGGUGAGAUACGAUAAGAUUGGUUUGAUAGGUGUGUGUGUGUGUGUCAGAGUGAGCGAGAGAGAUUUUAUAUUGACUAUGGUGGAAACUUUAAGGACUCUAUUGAAUAAUUUUUGGUAUGGUUGAGACACGUGAGUUGUGUCAUUGUGAUUUGUUUACUCGGAAGAUAUCUUUGCCAGACAAUUCAAAGCACACAUGUAAAGUUGUUGAGUUGGUGAUACAUGUUAUUCUACGGGUGCAUCUUUUUUAUCCAUUUUUGUCAAUUUCUUCCUACAAAAUAUAUCUUUGAAUAUUCAUUUUGGUUCCGGUUUUUUUUUUUAGUUUUUUUAAAAUUAUGUAAAUUCAUUAAGUAUGGUACCACUACCAUUUAUUCAACAUAAAUUGGUUUGAGAGUCCCUUAUCUCACAUUUACCAACUUGUUUUGUUUCAUGGAAAAGUAUUACUGAAAUAGCAUAAUUAAACAUGUUUAGUAAGCAACAUUAUUAUCACGGAAAGAGUGAGAGACACAACUCAAAAACCGGAUUAUUCAAUACCUCUCGGAAAACACCAAGUUACUUGUCUCCCAUGAUAAACCCAGCGAAUCUGUGCACGAGUUCAUGAGCCUUUUCAGAACUAGGAUCCUUCAAAUGAAAAACAUGAGUUUCUCCUUUAGUCUCCAUCACUUCCACUUCUCCGUUCCAACGGCUCUUAUCAAGCUUAGCCGCGUAACCCCAACCUUGUCUGCACAAGGUGUCUUUCUCAGCCACCAUAACCAAAACCCUUCCGCAGCCCAGCCCGGAAAUAUCUACCAACUCUGAUUGCACCACGUUGAUGUACGGAUCAUCCAAUCCAUCUUUGCUUGUGGGAUUAGCCAACUUCCAAACCGACUCGAGCCACGUCCUUCUUGCUACAUCCGUUGUCUCCUUGUCGUCGAGUGGCGUUUUUGACCAGAAGUAAGGAUGAACCAAGAUGAUUCCGGAGAUUCCUGAAUCAUUCAAACCGGGACUGAGUGUCUCUUUCGCAGCUCUCAUAGCCAUGUGAUGCGUUAUGUUGGCUCCGGCGCUAUCUCCGGCGAUGAACACUUUGCUGAAGUCGGCGUGUUUGUUCAACCAAUCUUCUUGACCAUACCCGGCGACGUGGGAGAAAACCCAUUUGAGAGCUGUCCAGGAAUCAUCGUAAGACGUCGGGAUCGGAUGCUCCGGUGCACGCCGGUAAUCAACAGAGACAGCUACACAGUCCGAGGCAGAGACAGCAGCCUUGAGGAAGGUCUGGUAAGUCGGGGAGAAAGCGGUUUCAAUGACGAAUCCUCCACCGUGGAAGUAGACGAGGAGAGGGAGUUUCUCACGGGUCUCGGCGGCUUUCUCCGGGAGGUAAACGCGGAGGGAGAGGUUGUCGUGUGGAGAAUAAACGACGUCCUUGGACACGACACCGUUUUGUGGGAUGGAAGAAGGUGGGACGGUGGUUUCACCCAUGAGUCGCUCGACGCGGCCACUCUUGUAGAUUAUGAGCAUCGGAGAGAAGUCGGCCGCGAUCUCAGAAUCCAUGUUU